AUUAGCAGACAAAUGGAGGCAGAAUUUGCAUAUUGCCAGGACGGAACAUCUUCCACCCCACAACUCAUUUGUGUGUGUAAAACACUUUGAGGCAUGUGUUGUGGGGGGACAAUGUUUGAAAAAGGGUGCCAUCCCCACCCUUCGUUUAGGGUUUUCCACUUUUCUAUAUUUCAGGUUUUUUUUAUUUAUAUAUUUUACAGGUAUUUUCCCGUUUCAGGUUUUUUCUAUUUUUUAGUCUAUUUUACAGGUUUCUUUUUUAUUUUUUCUUCUCUUUCAGCUAGCACCCGAGCCUAGAUUUUUAAAGCACUACAAUUUUUUCUUAAUCAUGAUGGAUUGAGAGUAGUGUUUUAAAAAUCAGGUAAAUCGCAAUGACUUAAUCGAUGUCAAUAUCGAAGUCGUGUGAGAAAUUGUUAUAGUAUGAGAACAAUUUCGUAAUUCGUGCUUUCAAAA